AUAAUUACUUUAGAAAUGGGAUGAAUCAUCAUGAAAGGCACGUGGCUCGGUGAAUAGUACAUCAUCUCGGAGAAUGCACGUGGCUCGGUGAUUUGGUAUAUCGCUUCGGAGAAUGCACGUGGCUCGAUGAUUAGUACGUCGCCUUGGAGAAUGCACGGGGUUUGAUGAUUAGAUAUGUCACCUCGGAGAAUGCACAUGGCUCGGUGACGAAGUAUGUCGCCUUGGAGAAUGCAUGUGGCUUGGUGACUAGAUGUAUAUAUCACAUCGGAGAAUGCACGUGGCUCGGUGACAAAGUGUGUCUCCUUGGAGAAUGCACG
rnacentral:lncRNA from 1 species